CUCCUCCUCCUCCUGCUCCUCCUCCUCCUCCUCCUCUGGAUGAAGCCUUGAUUACACUGAAGGAAACAUUUUGGGUCUUUUGUAGUUCUUUGGGGUUUCGCCACACAGACGUCCUCGAAGCUCCACAAAAGUUGUAAACAAGCCAAAGAAAAACAGGCAAAACAAUAAAAAACAGGAAAUAAUAAGCAAAUAAACGGGCAAAAGAUACAGGCAAAAAAAAGAUAAAACCAUAGAAAAAAGACAAAAAACAGGAAAUAAAUGGGCAAAAAAGGGUUAAAAAAAAGGCACAAAAAUGCCAACAAUUAAGACCCCCAAAAAAAAACGGGCAAAAAAAGAGCAAAAUAUUGACAAAAACACCUUCACGGAAACAGGCAAAAAAAACGUGGCACAGGAAGCCAUCGAAAGGCGUCUGUUCAGUGUCUCUUAAAUCAAGAUUAAAAGACACUUAAUGUAAAACAAGAUGGAUGUAAACACGUUUUUAUACGUCAUGGGGGGGGGUCCAUGUGUUUCUGUUCAGGCAACAACAAGACAGCUUCGGGUCUCGGCUCCACACUUCAGCUGCAGCGGUUCCCCGGUCAGGAACACUUUGAGUCGCCAUGUUUCCUCGACACGUUGACAGAAAACACGAGUCGGACUCCGUGACGUCAUCACAUUAGUAGUGUAGACACGGAGGUUUCAGACGCGUCGGAGGAGCGUGCGGCCGGCCGAGGAAGAGGGGCAGCAACGCAAAGUCGACGAAAACAACGAUAUUUUCAGCGUCUCUCAUGAAAAGCUGUGAGCAGUUCACACAGCGGCCAGCAGGGGGCCGACCGCCGGCUGAGGAGCCCGAUGGAGCCAAUCACACGUCUCCCUGGGAAGAUCAAACCUCCAGCUGAUUGGAGAGCAGAACGUUCUUCAGGUGAUGAAGACGAUGAAGCUGAUGAAGACGAGCUCAUUGACCAGAAACAGACGAAGACAAUAAAUAUUACACAUGAAUGCAA